CAAAACCUCACAAAUGAAUAAAAACCUGAGGAACAACAGACUCCUUCACAUGCCGUGCCUUGAUUUGGACUACAUAGGCCAAAGGUUUUGACUGCUCAUCAUUCAUCAUUUUGCAGAGGGGAAGAAACUGUUCUUAUGGCGAGAGGUUCUGGUGCGAAUGGACCGGAGCCUCCUGCCUGAGGGGAGCAGGUCAAACAGACUGUGUCCAGGGUGAGAAGGGUCAGCUGAGAUCUGAGCUGCACGGCCCAGUGGCCUGGAGGUGUACAGGUCCUGCAGAGAUGGGAGUCUGCAGCCAAUCACCUCCUCAGCAGAGCGCACAACACGCUGCAGUCUCUGUUUGUCCCUGAUAGUGGCUCCAGCGUACCACACGGUGAUGGAGGAGGUUAAACUGGAACAACAACCAUGAGCCAGACCUUGCUACCAACAAGAGCUGCAGACCUGACUAAUGGUGCUGUAGCUGAGCGUGGACAAAUAACUGCAGCUGGUUCCCAAAAUGAUAACAGGCUGGGCUGGCCACACUGGGAGCUG
ensembl:lncRNA